rnacentral:rRNA from 1 species
GGCAGCACGGGUGCUUGCACCUGGUGGCGAGUGGCGAACGGGUGAGUAAUACAUCGGAACAUGUCCUGUAGUGGGGGAUAGCCCGGCGAAAGCCGGAUUAAUACCGCAUACGAUCUACGGAUGAAAGCGGGGGACCUUCGGGCCUCGCGCUAUAGGGUUGGCCGAUGGCUGAUUAGCUAGUUGGUGGGGUAAAGGCCUACCAAGGCGACGAUCAGUAGCUGGUMUGAGAGGACGACCAGCCACACUGGGACUGAGACACGGCCCAGACUCCUACGGGAGGCAGCAGUGGGGAAUUUUGGACAAUGGGCGAAAGCCUGAUCCAGCAAUGCCGCGUGUGUGAAGAAGGCCUUCGGGUUGUAAAGCACUUUUGUCCGGAAAGAAAUCCUUGGCUCUAAUACAGUCGGGGGAUGACGGUACCGGAAGAAUAAGCACCGGCUAACUACGUGCCAGCAGCCGCGGUAAUACGUAGGGUGCAAGCGUUAAUCGGAAUUACUGGGCGUAAAGCGUGCGCAGGCGGUUUGCUAARACCGAUGUGAAAUCCCCGGGCUCAACCUGGGAACUGCAUUGGUGACUGGCAGGCUAGAGUAUGGCAGAGGGGGGUAGAAUUCCACGUGUAGCAGUGAAAUGCGUAGAGAUGUGGAGGAAUACCGAUGGCGAAGGCAGCCCCCUGGGCCAAUACUGACGCUCAUGCACGAAAGCGUGGGGAGCAAACAGGAUUAGAUACCCUGGUAGUCCACGCCCUAAACGAUGUCAACUAGUUGUUGGGGAUUCAUUUCCUUAGUAACGUAGCUAACGCGUGAAGUUGACCGCCUGGGGAGUACGGUCGCAAGAUUAAAACUCAAAGGAAUUGACGGGGACCCGCACAAGCGGUGGAUGAUGUGGAUUAAUUCGAUGCAACGCGAAAAACCUUACCUACCCUUGACAGGGGGCGGAUCCCAGCCUAUUAUGCGGGGGUGGUGUUGAAAAGAAACGACCACCCCCCCCCCCGCUUGGGGGAAAGGUCGAUAAUUUUUUUUGUGGAAGGGAGGUUUUUUGCUUCCCCUCCCGGGCGGGCCCCCCACCCCAUGUUUCUUUUUCGGAAGGAAUUGGUCUUUUUCUCGGGGUUCCCCCCCUCCCCCACCCGCCAGGAGGGGGGGGAAGACCCGCCCCGCCCCACCGGCCGGGGGGGGGCGGGGGUUCCCAAAAUUAAAGAAAGGGAGGAAAAGAAAGUUGGGUCCCCCCCCCCGGGGGGGGAAAAAAUCCCCCCCAACACCCUUUUUUUGGGUGGGGGGAGGGGGGCCCCCCCCUUUUCGCGGCCCAAUAAAAAUUAGGGGUAUAUAGGCCCCACACGCAAAAAACCGGCUUCCGGCGCUUCGCAUUCUCCGCGGGG